rnacentral:rRNA from 1 species
GACGAACGCUGGCGGCGUGCUUAACACAUGCAAGUCGAACGGUAAGGCCCUUCGGGGUACACGAGUGGCGAACGGGUGAGUAACACGUGAGUAACCUGCCCUUGACUCUGGGAUAACAGCCGGAAACGGUUGCUAAUACCGGAUAUGAGCCCCUACCGCAUGGUGGGGGUUGGAAAGCUCCGGCGGUCAUGGAUGGACUCGCGGCCUAUCAGCUUGUUGGUGAGGUAGUGGCUCACCAAGGCUUCGACGGGUAGCCGGCCUGAGAGGGCGACCGGCCACAUUGGGACUGAGAUACGGCCCAA